GAGCAACACGAGUCAAUAAGCAUCACAGAAGGACCAGAGAAGUUGAGGUUUGAAGAAGAGGCUGUUUGAUUUUUUUAAUGCUUCUGAGAGAGUCUGUAAGGUGAGGAGAGACUCAGGACUAUUGUUCUUUAAAACACAGAGGUCGGUGAUGGUGGAUACAUGAACAGCUUCACUGGAGGGCUGGCGCAGAAGUUCAGCACGAAAAGAGAAAUUAAGAAAGGAAUCCCUUAUUAUUGUACAGAGAGAUACAUCUUUAGGAAAGCUGCAGGAAAUCAACAGCAACUUUGACAGCGUAUUAGAGAGUGUCAGCAGGCCAGAGGGCGGUUUGUAGCAAAGGCUCGACCAACUAGGACCAGCAUGGUGACCGGCUCCAGAAAUCAGUUUUUGUAGAAGAGAUACCAAUAACUCAAUAAACCAGUUGCAGACAUAGCUAAGAUGGCAACGACUAAGAACAAAAAAUAAAUAAAUAAAACUAAAAGCAGUUUAGAGAUACUAGAGGAAGCAGAGACAAAGAAACGUGGAACUGAAAGAUUUGCAGGUUGUAUCUGGAAGCAUUCGGUAAUCUGCACACAAGCCUGCAUCAAUUUUUACAUUUAAAUAUAGUAGCUCUUACUACAGUCUUUGGGAGAAUUUUAUGGGCCACAGUCGUAUAUGUGGUCAGCCGAACCUUCAGAAAUCCUUCUACACAGAGAAGAACUAAAUCUGGUUGGCAUGCCACUAUUUUCGCUACAUCCAGGCGUUCCAAAGUCUUUUUACACCCAAAUCCUCUUCAUGAUUAUGAAGGCCAACUUGAGAAAAGAAGCGACUAUCACUCUUUGUAGCCUGCAAUGAAAAAAAAAUGGAAGUUUGCCUAACCUAAACUGAACAAAGAAAGACUAUUCUGGUAAGAAUGAAGCCAAGAUUUACUUUCGUUUUGCCAAUAAAUAUAAAUAUGACUAGUUGCA
rnacentral:lncRNA from 1 species